rnacentral:rRNA from 1 species
UGCAGAGGAUGCAAGCGUUAUCCGGAAUGAUUGGGCGUAAAGCGUCUGUAGGUGGCUUUUAAGUCCGCCGUCAAAUCCCAGGCUCAACUCUGGACAGGCGGUGGAAACUACCAAGCUGGAGUACGGUAGGGCAGAGGGAAUUUCCGGUGGAGCGGUGAAAUGCGUAGAGAUCGGAAAGACACCAACGGCGAAAGCACUCUGCUGGCCGACACUGACACUGAGAGCACGAAAGCUAGGGGAGCGAAUGGG